rnacentral:rRNA from 1 species
CCUACGGGUGGCAGCAGUGGGGAAUAUUGGACAAUGGGCGAAAGCCUGAUCCAGCCAUGCCGCGUGUGUGAAGAAGGCCUUCGGGUUGUAAAGCACUUUCAGUGGGGAAGAAAGCCUUGGGGCUAAUACCCUCGAGGAAGGACAUCACCCACAGAAGAAGCACCGGCUAACUCCGUGCCAGCAGCCGCGGUAAUACGGAGGGUGCGAGCGUUAAUCGGAAUUACUGGGCGUAAAGCGCGCGUAGGCGGUCUGAUAAGCCGGUUGUGAAAGCCCCGGGCUCAACCUGGGAACGGCAUCCGGAACUGUCAGGCUAGAGUGCAGGAGAGGAAGGUAGAAUUCCCGGUGUAGCGGUGAAAUGCGUAGAGAUCGGGAGGAAUACCAGUGGCGAAGGCGGCCUUCUGGACUGACACUGACGCUGAGGUGCGAAAGCGUGGGUAGCAAACAGGAUUAGAUACCCUAGUAAUC